GCAAUGGUGCACAUGAAGGUAGAACAUGAGCAUGGCCAUAUUUUUAUCUCAUCUAUCGUUUAUACAAACACACUAACAUGUCAUCCAAGCAACAAAACAUAUGUACUAUUUUCACUUCUAGUACCAAAUAGCAUUUGAAUGUUUAGACUUGAGAUAAGCAGGGAUACAAAUGUACCAAGCAAGCUAGCACCAUCUUCACACUUG
rnacentral:lncRNA from 1 species